AACGAACGCUGGCGGCAGGCUUAACACAUGCAAGUCGAACGCCCCGCAAGGGGAGUGGCAGACGGGUGAGUAACGCGUGGGAAUCUACCCAGUUCUACGGAACAACACAGGGAAACUUGUGCUAAUACCGUAUACGCCCUACGGGGGAAAGAUUUAUCGGAAUUGGAUGAGCCCGCGUUGGAUUAGCUAGUUGGUGAGGUAACGGCUCACCAAGGCGACGAUCCAUAGCUGGUCUGAGAGGAUGAUCAGCCACACUGGGACUGAGACACGGCCCAGACUCCUACGGGAGGCAGCAGUGGGGAAUAUUGGACAAUGGGCGCAAGCCUGAUCCAGCCAUGCCGCGUGAGUGAUGAAGGCCUUAGGGUUGUAAAGCUCUUUCAGUGGGGAAGAUAAUGACGGUACCCACAGAAGAAGCCCCGGCUAACUUCGUGCCAGCAGCCGCGGUAAUACGAAGGGGGCUAGCGUUGUUCGGAUUUACUGGGCGUAAAGCGCACGUAGGCGGAUCGUUAAGUCGGGGGUGAAAUCCUGGAGCUCAACUCCAGAACUGCCUUCGAUACUGGCGAUCUUGAGUCCGGAAGAGGUGAGUGGAACUCCUAGUGUAGAGGUGGAAUUCGUAGAUAUUAGGAAGAACACCAGUGGCGAAGGCGGCUCACUGGUCCGGUACUGACGCUGAUGUGCGAAAGCGUGGGGAGCAAACAGGAUUAGAUACCCUGGUAGUCCACGCCGUAAACUAUGAGAGCUAGCCGUUGGAGGAUUUAUCCUUCAGUGGCGCAGCUAACGCAUUAAGCUCUCCGCCUGGGGAGUACGGUCGCAAGAUUAAAACUCAAGGAAUUGACGGG
rnacentral:rRNA from 1 species